AAAAAUUAGAAUUAUUUUAUUGCUGGUUUUGCAGGUUAUAUAAAAGAGUGUCAGCUACUAUCAAUGGUAACAGUAAACAAUUCUUCAAAUAAAAUAUCACAACUUGUGGACCCAGAACAAUCAACAUUGAAAAAAAAUCUUCUAAUUUCUCAUGGCGUUUGGCAGAACACUUCUACAGCUGGAAGAAAUUACAAAAUUUUUAAAACAAAAUCAGAAGCAACUAGAAGAAAAACUGACAAAUACAAGCACCAAUGGAAGCUGCUGAGAAAUAACAUUAUAAACAUUUUCAUGAAUCAAAACAAGCCACAACUAAUUACCAAUGAAGGCAUAAAAACACAAGUUUCCAAAAAGUGGACAGGAAGUGGAAAAAUAACUUCAACUGAAACAAAUGCAGAGCUAACAGAAAAAGCAAGAAAGAUCCUAAAGCUUGGGAAAACUGAAAAUACUAAGAUAAUAAGUCAACAUAAAAUUAAUUCACAUCUACAGAAUGAAUUUAAAAUUGUUGAAAAGAAAACUGCAAAUAAUAAAAGAAAUCAACUGCAAAAAAAGUUGUAUUGCAAUUCUUGUAUAUUUAACAAAUGCUUUGGAACUAAGCCAUCAUUGAUAAAUACGUUUUUGACAGCAAAUUGUCUAUCAACUGUUAAAGGAAAAUGUUGCAGAAAAAAUCUGAAAGACUUACAAAGCAUUUUGGUAUUAAAUUUAGUAAAAAAUCAGAUGGUCAAUGAAAGUAGUCAAAAUCAAACUAAAACAAUGACAAAGGAAAAAAAUAAAUGUACCAAUAAAAGAAUUUUAGCAUUUGUCAAACAAAAGGAAUUAGCUGAAAAGAGUUCUAAAACAUGGGACUGGGAAAGAAUAGGUGCAAUCAGCAGAGAUCAGCAUAAAAUAUUAACUGAUGCAAGAAAAGUGUUAAUAAGUGCAGAAAAGAAAAGUCAACAUACUGAACUUCAGAAAUAUGGACAUAUACCUAAAGAGUUUCAGGAAAUAACUGGAUCUGUAAACAAUAUACCAAGUGGAAUAAGCAGUUGGAAAAGAAAAUCAGAAGGAAUGUCUACUAGGCCUUACAGUAAAAACCAAAACAUUUUAAACUCAAUGAAACAAAGAUCAGCAGGAUUACAAAAGGGUCAACCAAAUAUGAAAGACAUAGAUGGAAUGUACACAACAGGAAAAUCAGACAAAAAUAACAGGAGCAUAGAUGUAUUGUUUAAUAGCUUGCCUGAAGUAGGAAUCAAAGUAAUACUUCAAGGUAAAGAGCAAAGAACUAAAACAACUCCAAAAUCUGUUGAUAAAAAUCAGAGAUCUUCUGCACAAGCAAUGAUCCUGCAAAGAAGCAAAGAAAAUGUGCAGGAAAAGUGGUCAAUAUAUAAAACUGGUUCUUCUAGAACUCAUGAAAGAAAACAAGAUACUUUUAAAACUAAAGUUUCUAGAAAACAGAAAUGGAGAGGGAAUCCGGUUGAAGUACAUAUACCUAAAAAAGAAAGUACUGUGUUUAGAGUGGAAAGGUUGGAAUAUUCAUCCAGAAAUGACCACGUAGAACCUAUAAAGUUAAAUUCUGUCUUUCCAACCACAAAAUAUGCUGUAAGUGUUAAACAGGCAUUAUUUCCACCAGAAAUAGGACAAGCAAAGUCUUCAAGACAUGUGGGAAAAAUGGUGACACAUAGCACGUCAACUUCAUGGAAGGUAAAACAGAAAUCUUUAAGCUUUGCUCAAAAGGAUUUAAAUAUUAAAGCUAGAAGAGCUGCUGUAUCAAACAAACAAACUGUGAAUAGUAAAUAUAAAAAAAUUAAUAAAAGAGAUUAUUUACCAAUAUCUUCAAUAUAUCCUUAUAAACAUACUUCUCAAAGUGUAUCUGAUGGUGAAAGAAGAAAACAAUCAACACAGGGUGAAAGUGUAAAGGUAUCUGUAGGCAGCUUUUUCAGUUUCUCAGAACCAUUAUGAAAGAUGAAGAACUUCCAAACAAAUUUGUACCAAUUGAUGCUCAACAUGAUAAGCAUAUGUCUCUCUCUCAGAGUUUUCAUGUUGGAAAAUCACAGGUAAAACCUAGCAUCUCUAUUCUAAAAAUAAAAUGCAGCCCUAACCUUAUUUGAAUUCCA
rnacentral:lncRNA from 1 species